UACGGGGGGGGCAAGCGUUGUUCGGAAUUACUGGGCGUAAAGGGCUCGUAGGCGGCCUUCUAAGUCAGACGUGAAAUCCCUCGGCUUAACCGGGGAACUGCGUCUGAUACUGGAUGGCUUGAGUUUGGGAGAGGGAUGCGGAAUUCCAGGUGUAGCGGUGAAAUGCGUAGAUAUCUGGAGGAACACCGGUGGCGAAGGCGGCAUCCUGGACCAACACUGACGCUGAGGAGCGAAAGCCAGGGGAGCAAACGGG
rnacentral:rRNA from 1 species